CCUACGUGUGGCUGCAGUGGGGGAUAUUGGACAAUGGGGGGAACCCUGAUCCAGCGACGCCGCGUGAGUGAAGAAGUCUUUCGGUAUGUAAAGCUCUGUCAGCCGGGAAGAAAGCAAUGACGGUACCUGACCAAGACGCCCCGCCUAACUACGUCCCCGCAGCCGCGGGAAUACGGAGGGGGCAAGCUUUAUCCGGACUUACUGGGUGUAAAGGGAGCGUAGACGGCUGUGCAAGUCUGGAGUGAAAGGCGGGGGCCCACACCCCGGACUGCUCUGGAAACUGGAGGGCUGGAGUGCAGGAGAGGUAAGCGGAAUUCGUAGUGUAGCGGUGAAAUGCGUAGAUAUUAGGAGGAACACCAGUGGCGAAGGCGGCUUACUGGACUGUAACUGACGUUGAGGCUCGAAAGCGUGGGGAGCAAACAGGAUUAGAUACCCUUGUAGUC
rnacentral:rRNA from 1 species